CCCAGGUAACACGUAAAUAAAAGCAUCAAAGCAAAACAGAAACAGAAAUAGUUUUUCUAUCUAACAAGAUCUCCCUCAACCUGAGUAACAAUUUCGGCCGCAGCUAUGCAAGAUCAUCCUUCACCUGUAUCAAAUCAAGUAAACAGAUUAAAUCACAGAUCACAUGCCAAUACACUCAAAGCUUGUCCUUUGGAAUAAGCCAUUUUAUCCUCUACUAUAUCCAACACAUUAAAACAAGGGUGAUUGACAUUUCAAACUGCAUCAUUAGUUCAACAUCUUCGUGUUCAUUGACUUCAACACCAAGCACCAAAAUUUUGUCAUCCUCAGCCUGUAACACAACCUAUCAGAUUAGCCCACUCCUUUCAAUGUUUCUAUGUUACAACAUUCAUCAGAUUAAUUCCAAAAAAAAAGGGCUACCACUGUUUCGGACACAACACACACCAUCGUUCUUAAUCUCAGAAGUCGAAACACCAAACUAAUCAAUAAAUAAAAAUGGGGGGAAUGAGAAAAGGAGAGUGACGGCGCCGGUGAGGAAGCGGGCUCCAGCAAGGGCAGCGGGUUCCAUUGCCGGCACGACCCUGGUUCGUGGUCCGAAAGGUGGCGACUGGGCGCGGCGGCUAUGGCAGACAAGGAGAUCGGACAGAGCGGCCCUUGACGGUCUCGGAGGCUCGCGGAGGCUGACUUUGGUGGGGGUAGUGGCGGUUGCAGGGUGCAAGGCGAGAACUUCCCGCGCGCGAAGAGGAGAAAGGAAUUUUGGAGCGACGACCGGCGAUGGGCUCAACGGUGGGCGGCUGAGUUGGCGACGACUUGGACGGCGACACGCAGUGGCCGGUCUGGCGGAGGUGGCAGUGUGCGCGGAGAUGACGCGGUGGCCGGUCUCGGCUGGGAAAGGGAGAUUUGAGUUUUGUGCGUGGUUGUCGAGUGAGAUAGAAAAUAAGAGAAAGAGGGGGUUUCUGUUUUUGUGUUGGAGAAGAAGAGACGAAGGUUGAAACUGCCCCUGGCUGCUGGCUUCCGAAAAGGGAAGGAGAGGAGAUCUCCCUCUUUCUGGCUUUUGACAAAGUUUUACCCUACAAAAAGAAGUUUGGGCUCUUGCCCGGUCCAUGUUUUUGGAGGAAAAGAGUAUAGGCUUUAAUCCAUCUUGCGAAACAGAGGAAUAAAUUGGGCUCGGUCCAAUUCCAAAAUUUGGAAGAACAGAAAUUAAAAUUGUUUUUAGAAAAUCUUUUCAUAAAAAUUAGUACUCUUUUCUUUUAUUUGAUUUUCUCUUUUUUCUUUAAUUUUGGAUUAAUACUCUUUGUCCAGUGCUCCGGACUCUUUGGGCUGUUUGAAUUGAAGCUGAUUAACAUUUGGACCACUGCUGCCACCACGCUUGAAGUUGGUACUGAUGCCACUGAAUUGGGCCGUCUUAAGCUGGGCUGCGAGGAAGCUUUCUGCACCGAUGCUGGAAUGCACUGAAUUGGCGCUGCUGGCAUAGACCGGGUUGAUUGCACAAGCAGCAGCUGCCUUGGGGGUCUCUUCCCCUCGUUUUCAUUUGAAGAAAGAACCCAAAGCUAGGGCAAAGCUAAAGGUGAGAGAGGAAAGCUCCCAAUAUUCAAGUCAUUUAGCCAGUGCUUCAAACGUCACUGACCGGUGGAGAAGAAGAGCUGACCGGAGCUGCCACGUGGAUAGGAUCGACGGUCAGAGCAAAGCAAGGAAACAGAUAAACGGUAGCCGUCCGAUGAUGAAGAGAAGAAUAAAGCAUCACAAGCGCCAUUCUUAGCUCUAGGGAGUGAAUCGCGGAGGGUGACAGACUCCACGAACGAGUGUGUGAAGGGUGACAGACUUCACUCACGAGACUUGGAGAUCACGAGAGUGAGAGCGAGAGACAAUUCUUUAGUUUCAUAGAGUAGAAGAUUUCACUGAGUUGCGAGGGUGACAGGCCGUGAUUUUCGGUGAUUUCUGGUAUCAUGUACUUUUAUCUUCAAUGUUUAAUGUUUAAUGCAAUUCUGAUUCCUUUUAUGGAUGGAUUCUUUUGAUUGGUUGAUAAUAGUUUAGGUUUUAUUACUUGAUUUCAUUUGCUGUUCACGAUAAGUUGUUUCUGGCAGUUUGUUUUCAUUGAAAAUUUAUAGGUUUUUAGAAUUAGAUUGUAUGUUUUAAGUGCAUUUAGACUAGACUGUGCAUUUGAUAUUGAAUAAAAGCUUGCAUCAGACUCACAAUUGCUAUGGUUUGGUACAGAGAGUAUACAAGAGGGUAUGAUUUUACAGGAUGUCUUCCUGAGUUGCAAGUGAAUACUAUUCUGCACUAAUCUUUGCUUUUAGGUUUCUGAUUCAUGGUUUUAACCAAUGAGUUUGUUCUGCUCCUUAGUUAGGUGUUACUUGUUAAAUUGUUCUUCAUUUUAGUUUGAGCAUUCUAUCUGCAACCUGUAGGUCUAGUUACUUGUUUUCUAUUUUUUUUAAAUUGGAACUCUUUCUCAUAGAUUAGAAAUUCUUUUCCAUGUUAAUUUCAUUUUUUUAUGUUACUGUGGAUUGGAAAUUAAAAUAGUUUUAGUUUAGAUUUUUCUGUAUUUUCAAUUUCAGAUUUUAUUCUUUGAUCAUGAUACACAGUCUUAAGUUUUGUUUCAGUUGUGUGUAAAUAGUAAUAGAUCCAAUUUAAUGAGUGACAGUUAAAUAGCUUUUCAUAUAGGAUGUUGUUCAUUUAGAAUAGUUUAGUUUUGACAUUUUCUCUUUUGAUUAAUUUCAUUUUUUUCUUUUAAACAGUUUACAGAUUUUAAAUUCUCUUUUCCUUGAUAAAUUUCAUUCUUUCAUUUUUAUUUCCCCACCUUGCAUUAGUUAAUAGGUAGUAAAUAAAUAAAAUACAAGAGUUAACUUUAAUUGUACUGAGUCCUUGGAUUGAUACCUAGGUUGACCCCUACAUUAGUGGAAAAACUUUGUUGGUUCUGAUUUUAGGUGACAAAAAUCAGUUUAACAGUGGGUUUUGUAUUUUUAGCUAGUCACUUGUGAGUGUGUGUGUGUUUUCAAAGUGUAGGCUUAAAUGGCAUGCAAUGUGGCAUUGGUGGGUUUUGGAUCCCUGAAGGAACUUGGUACUUCUUGAAUGGCUUCUCUUGUCAUGUUCCUCUCUUUUAAUAGGGUAACUUGCAUUGUUCUUUGCAUAAUUUACUAAGAAAGUAGGGUUGUAGACAAAUCGAGGAUCGAUAAGAAUGAGAUAUCUUCAAUAUAAAUCUAAUUUGUUUUUUCUGACAAGUUUUUUAUUUCAUUAUAAACGUGAGUUUCUAUUUUUACCAGAGAAUGUGGAUUGGUUCAUUCGGUUGAUAAUAUUUGUGUGAAAUUUCGGGAGGUGUGAGACUAUGCAUUUGAAUUUGUUGUUUUUUUAGUUUUGUUGACAUAAUGAAAUUUAAUUGCUGACUUUAGAUCCUAAUUUUUCAUCAUAUGUACACUUUGUUAUCAAUUUAGUGACACUGGUUUUUUAUAUUUUCAUUUUUUUCUCAUUGAUAUGCAGGGGAACUUAGUUGACCAGAGCUUGACAAUUGGCAGAAAAUUGUUUCGAAGUAUCUGUCUGGUGCGAUGGUUUACAUAACUGAGUGGGACAAAUUUGUGGAGCAAUCCAUUCAGUUGUUUCGUGCUGAUCCUGACUCUGUAAUUCUAUACCUUCAACGUUUUCUCGUUUCUUAAAGUAACAUAACCCUGACAAACUUCAUUGAGACUUUUGUUUUAUUUUACUGUUACAAAAGCCUUUAAUUGGAAUAUUUGCUCUGUUUUCAUAUUCACUUGGGCAAUACUCAAUUGAUUUUUUAUAAUUCAGUUUCUUGAUUGUCCAAGUUAUCCAACUUGUCCUUCUUGUUCUAUUAAAACGUACUGAAAAUGAAAUUUCUUCAAUUGUAUUUGGAGCAGACACGGUAUGUCAUGAAGUACAGGCAUUGUGAUGGCAAGUUGGUACUUAGGGUCACUGAUAACCGGCAG
rnacentral:sRNA from 1 species